rnacentral:rRNA from 1 species
UACGAAGGGGGCUAGCGUUGUUCGGAAUUACUGGGCGUAAAGCGUGCGCAGGCGGCUUCUCAAGUCAGGGGUGAAAGCCCAGAGCUCAACUCUGGAAUUGCCUUUGAGACUGAGUGGCUUGAGUACGGGAGAGGUGAGUGGAAUUCCCAGUGUAGAGGUGAAAUUCGUAGAUAUUGGGAAGAACACCGGUGGCGAAGGCGACUCACUGGCCCGUAACUGACGCUCAUGCACGACAGCGUGGGGAGCAAACAGG